rnacentral:rRNA from 1 species
CGGAAAGCCUGAUGCAGCGACGCCGCGUGAGGGAUGACGGCCUUCGGGUUGUAAACCUCUUUCAGUAGGGAAGAAGCGAAAGUGACGGUACCUGCAGAAGAAGCGCCGGCUAACUACGUGCCAGCAGCCGCGGUAAUACGUAGGGCGCAAGCGUUAUCCGGAAUUAUUGGGCGUAAAGAGCUCGUAGGCGGUUUGUCGCGUCUGCCGUGAAAGUCCGGGGGCUCAACUCCGGAUCUGCGGUGGGUACGGGCAGACUAGAGUGAUGUAGGGGAGACUGGAAUUCCUGGUGUAGCGGUGAAAUGCGCAGAUAUCAGGAGGAACACCGAUGGCGAAGGCAGGUCUCUGGGCAUUAACUGACGCUGAGGAGCGAAAGCAUGGGGAGCGAACAGGAUUAGAUACCCUGGUAGUCCAUGCCGUAAACGUUGGGCACUAGGUGUGGGGGACAUUCCACGUUUUCCGCGCCGUAGCUAACGCAUUAAGUGCCCCGCCUGGGGAGUACGGCCGCAAGGCUA